AUUGAACGCUGGCGGCAGGCCUAACACAUGCAAGUCGAACGAGUGGCGGACGGGUGAGUAAUGUCUGGGAAACUGCCUGAUGGAGGGGGAUAACUACUGGAAACGGUAGCUAAUACCGCAUACCAUCAGAUGUGCCCAGAUGGGAUUAGCUUGUGGGCGGGGUAUCGGCUCACCAAGGCUAAGAUCCCUAGCUGGUCUGAGAGGAUGACCAGCCACACUGGAACUGAGACACGGUCCAGACGCCUGCGGCAGGCAGCAGUGGGGAAAAUUGCACAAUGGGCGAAGGCCUGAGGCAACCAUGCCGCGUGUAUGAAGAAGGCCUUCGGGUUGUAAAGUAGUUUCAGCGGGGAGGCGUUACCCGCAGAAGAAGCACCGGCUAACUCCGUGCAAGCAGCCGCGGUAAUAC
rnacentral:rRNA from 1 species